GUGUCAGCCGCCGCGGUAAUACGUAGGUGGCGAGCGUUAUCCGGAAUUAUUGGGCGUAAAGCGCGCGCAGGCGGUUUCUUAAGUCUGAUGUGAAAGCCCACGGCUCAACCGUGGAGGGUCAUUGGAAACUGGGAAACUUGAGUGCAGAAGAGGAAAGCGGAAUUCCACGUGUAGCGGUGAAAUGCGUAGAGAUGUGGAGGAACACCAGUGGCGAAGGCGGCUUUCUGGUCUGUAACUGACGCUGAGGCGCGAAAGCGUGGGGAGCAAACAGGAUUAGAUACCCGUGUAGUCC
rnacentral:rRNA from 1 species